rnacentral:pre_miRNA from 1 species
CAAGUACUCCCUCCGUCAGAAUUACUUGUCAUCAAAAUGGAUGUGUCUAGAACUAAAAUACAUCUAGACACAUCCAUUUCAGUGACAAGUAUUUUCGGACGGAGGGAGUACAAG